GAUUGAUUUUGGUCGCCAACGAGUGGCGGACGGGUGAGUAACACGUAGGUAACCUGCCCAGAAGCGGGGGACAACAUUUGGAAACAGAUGCUAAUACCGCAUAACAGCGUUGUUCGCAUGAACAACGCUUAAAAGAUGGCUUCUCGCUAUCACUUCUGGAUGGACCUGCGGUGCAUUAGCUUGUUGGUGGGGUAACGGCCUACCAAGGCGAUGAUGCAUAGCCGAGUUGAGAGACUGAUCGGCCACAAUGGGACUGAGACACGGCCCAUACUCCUACGGGAGGCAGCAGUAGGGAAUCUUCCACAAUGGGCGCAAGCCUGAUGGAGCAACACCGCGUGAGUGAAGAAGGGUUUCGGCUCGUAAAGCUCUGUUGUUAAAGAAGAACACGUAUGAGAGUAACUGUUCAUACGUUGACGGUAUUUAACCAGAAAGUCACGGCUAACUACGUGC
rnacentral:rRNA from 1 species